rnacentral:lncRNA from 1 species
UACACAGAGGUCCGGGAGCAGGUGAGCCUCCAGCAGGAGCAGGCGUUCAAGGACGAGGCCCACACGCAGUGGCUCACCCUGCAGGCCUUAGAGGAAGAAGCUUCUCCAGGCUGAUGAGUCAUCUCCUGCCCUGGAGGGGAUCAGGAGAGUUGAGGAAGAACUGGGCGAACUAAAGGCCGUUCUCACAGACGCGGGAGGAUGCGGGGGGAUGCGGGGGGAUGCGGGGGGAUGCGGAGGGAUGCGGGGGGAUGAGCGGAGAGGUGGGGGGACGCAGGAGGAUGAACCUUCAAACACUCAGACGUCUUAGAAACCCUCCGGAAAAAGACUCAGGGAUUGGACUCCAAGCUCCAGCACGUGGAGGAUGGAGUCUGUUCUCUGGAGACGGCUUCUGUGCCCCAGACCGAGAGCCUGCAGUGCGCCUUGUCCAAGAGCCAGGAGCUGACGCAGAGCCUGGCCGCCCUGCAGGGGCGCCUGGUGGGCCCAGGGUCCUCGGAAGCAGACAGGGCUGGCCUGGCAGUGCGGUGAGGAGCCUGGCCAGGCCCAGCUGGUGCUCCUGGGUGCUGCAGAUGAGCUGAAGUGUGUGGGCAAGCUCCUAGCACACGCUGCCCAGCCAGGACCAAGCCCAGGCUGCCCGUCUGCCCCUUCAGGACUUCCUGGACCGUUGUUCUUCUCUAGACAGCCUGAAAUCCUCAGCCAGCCUAGUGCAAUUGGACUUGAAAAUGCUCAGGGCUGUCGGAGACAGUUUGCUUGUGUACCCGGCAGGCCACAACAGAACCAACGAGAACAGCCUGGGAUCAACCAAGGGUUUACUAGAUGACCUGAAAAAUAAUCUGGAUGGGUUGUUUGUAGAGGUUGAAAAGAUUUAUGAAAA